rnacentral:rRNA from 1 species
UACGUAGGGUGCGAGCGUUGUCCGGAAUUACUGGGCGUAAAGAGCUCGUAGGUGGUUUGUCGCGUUGUCCGUGAAAACUCACAACUCAAUUGUGGGCGUGCGGGCGAUACGGGCAGACUGGAGUACUGCAGGGGAGACUGGAAUUCCUGGUGUAGCGGUGGAAUGCGCAGAUAUCAGGAGGAACACCGAUGGCGAAGGCAGGUCUCUGGGCCAUAACUGACGCUGAGAAGCGAAAGCAUGGGGAGCGAACAGG